rnacentral:rRNA from 1 species
UACGUAGGGUGCGAGCGUUGUCCGGAAUUAUUGGGCGUAAAGAGCUCGUAGGCGGUCUGUCGCGUCGAUCGUGAAAACUUGGGGCUUAACUCUGAGCUUGCGGUCGAUACGGGCAGACUUGAGUUCGGUAGGGGAGACUGGAAUUCCUGGUGUAGCGGUGAAAUGCGCAGAUAUCAGGAGGAACACCGGUGGCGAAGGCGGGUCUCUGGGCCGAUACUGACGCUGAGGAGCGAAAGCGUGGGGAGCGAACAGG